GAUGAACGCUGGCGGCGUGCCUAAUACAUGCAAGUCGAGCGAACAGACGAGGAGCUUGCUCCUCUGACGUUAGCGGCGGACGGGUGAGUAACACGUGGAUAACCUACCUAUAAGACUGGGAUAACUUCGGGAAACCGGAGCUAAUACCGGAUAAUAUAUUGAACCGCAUGGUUCAAUAGUGAAAGACGGUUUUGCUGUCACUUAUAGAUGGAUCCGCGCCGCAUUAGCUAGUUGGUAAGGUAACGGCUUACCAAGGCAACGAUGCGUAGCCGACCUGAGAGGUUGAGCGGCCGCACUGGAUCUGAGACACGGUCCAGACUCCUACGGGAGGCAGCAGUAGGGAAUCUUCCGCAAUGGGCUAAAGCCUGACGGAGCAACGCCGCGUGAGUGAUGAGGGUCUUCGGAUCGUGAAACUCUGUUAUUAGGGAAGAACAAAUGUGUAAGUAACUAUGCACGUCUUUACGGUACCUAAUCAGAGAGCCACGGCUAACUACGUG
rnacentral:rRNA from 1 species